GACGAACGCUGGCGGCGUGCCUAACACAUGCAAGUCAACUUGACGGAAGGAGCAAUCUGACCGUAGAGUGGCGCAAGGGUGCGUGACGCGUAAGUAACUUGCCCAAGGUAAGGAAUAACGUCGAGAAAUCGGCGCUAAUACCUCAUAAUGCAGCGGAUCCGCAUGGAUAUGUUGUUAAAGGUUUACCGCCUUGGGAUAGGCUUGCGUCUGAUUAGCUAGUUGGUGUGGUAACGGCACACCAAGGCUACGAUCAGUAACUGGUCUGAGAGGAUGAUCAGUCACACUGGAACUGAGACACGGUCCAGACUCCUACGGGAGGCAGCAGUGAGGAAUAUUGGGCAAUGCUCGAAAGAGUGACCCAGCAACGCCGCGUGGAGGAUGAAGGUAUUCUAUAUCGUAAACUCCUGUGAGAGCAGACGAAAGACAGAUUAUUAAUCUGGAUGACUGUAUGCUCAGAGGAAG
rnacentral:rRNA from 1 species